rnacentral:rRNA from 1 species
GAUGAACGCUGACAGAAUGCUUAACACAUGCAAGUCGAUUCAAGUUACCUUCGGGUAACAAGGAUGGCGGACGGGUGAGUAACGCGUAAGGAACUUGCCUCUUGGUCUGGGACAACUGUUGGAAACGACAGCUAAUACCGGAGAUUAUGAGAUUCUCGCAUGGGAAACUUAUGAAAGCUAUAUGCGCCAGGAGAGAGCCUUGCGUUCCAUUAGCUAGGUGGUGGGGUAACGGCCCACCAAGGCGACGAUGGAGAGCCGGCCGGGGAGGGUGAACGGCCACAAGGGGACGGAGACACAGCCCGUACUCCUACGGGAGGCAGCAGUGGGGAAUAUUGGACAAUGGGCCACAAGCCUGAUCCAGCAAUUCUGUGUGCACGAUGAAGGUCUUCGGAUUGUAAAGUGCUUUCAGUUGGGAAGAAGUAAGUGACGGUACCAACAGAAGAAGCGACGGCUAAAUACGUGCCAGCAGCCGCCGUAA